AGUCGAGUGCGCGUACCGUAGCAAUACGGUAUGGCGCACGGCGCACGGGUGCGUAACACGUGGGCAAUCUGCCCUUCGAUGGGGAAUAUCUUCGGGAAACCGAAGCGAAUUCCGCAUAACAUUCCUUGGACUUCGGUUCGAGGACUCAAAGCCGUAAGGCGUCGAAGGAGGAGCCCGCGCCCGAUUAGCUAGUUGGUGAGGUAACGGCUCACCAAGGCAAUGAUCGGUAGCUGGUCUGAGAGGAUGGCCAGCCACACUGGAACUGAGACACGGUCCAGACUCCUACGGGAGGCAGCAGUGGGGAAUCUUGCGCAAUGGGCGAAAGCCUGACGCAGCGACGCCGCGUGGGGGAUGAAGCAUCUCGGUGUGUAAACCCCUUUCGACUGGGACGAAUGCCUCGCAAGAGGAGUGACGGUACCAGUAGAAGAAGCCCCGGCUAACUACGUGUCAGCAGCCGCGGUAAGACGUAGGGGGCCAGCGUUGUUCGGAAUUACUGGGUGUAAAGGGUUCGUAGGCGGUGUGGCAAGUCGGGAGUGAAAUUUCUGGGCUUAACCCAGAAGCUGCUUCCGAAACUGCUGUGCUUGAAUGUGGAAAAGCCCGUGGAAUUGCAGUGUAGCGGUGAAUGCGUAAAUUUUUGCAGAACCCCCCUGGGGAAAGCGGCCCCCUUGGACCACUACUGACCCUUAAGAACGAAAGCUUGGGGAGCAAACAGGAUUAAAACCCUGGUAUUCUUAGCCUUAAACAAUUAAGGAAUUGGGGGGCCCCCCCGUUCCGGGGUCCUUCCCGGAACUUAACCCUUUAAAUUCUCCCCCUGGGGG
rnacentral:rRNA from 1 species